UACGUAGGGACCGAGCGUUGUCCGGAUUCAUUGGGCGUAAAGAGCUCGUAGGCGGCUUCGUAAGUCAGGUGUGAAACCUCCAGGCUCAACCUGGAGCCGCCACCUGAUACUGCGAUGGCUUGAGUCCAGUAGGGGCGCGCGGAAUUCCUGGUGUAGCGGUGAAAUGCGCAGAUAUCAGGAGGAACACCGGUGGCGAAGGCGGGAUCUCGUGGGCAGUGAACUGACGCUGAGAAGCGAAAGCGUGGGGAGCGAACAGG
rnacentral:rRNA from 1 species